AGUGAACGCUGGCGGUACGCCUAACACAUGCAAGUCGAACGGCAGCACAGUAAGAGCUUGCUCUUACGGGUGGCGAGUGGCGGACGGGUGAGGAAUACAUCGGAAUCUACUUUUUCGUGGGGGUUAACGUAGGGAAACUUACGCUAAUACCGCAUACGACCUACGGGUGAAAGCAGGGGAUCUUCGGACCUUGCGCGAUUGAAUGAGCCGAUGUCGGAUUAGCUAGUUGGCGGGGUAAAGGCCCACCAAGGCGACGAUCCGUAGCUGGUCUGAGAGGAUGAUCAGCCACACUGGAACUGAGACACGGUCCAGACUCCUACGGGAGGCAGCAGUGGGGAAUAUUGGACAAUGGGCGCAAGCCUGAUCCAGCCAUACCGCGUGAGUGAAGAAGGCCUUCGGGUUGUAAAGCCCUUUUGUUGGGAAAGAAAAGCAGCAGGUUAAUACCCCGCUGUUCUGACGGUACCCAAAGAAUAAGCACCGGCUAACUUCGUG
rnacentral:rRNA from 1 species